rnacentral:snoRNA from 1 species
UGGGUCAGUGAUGAGUGCGUGUGGGGCAUCUGAAUAAGAUACGUUGAUUACACCCUGUCUACGACUCUGAGGUCCAU